GGGAGGGGCAGUAGGCAAGGGAGAGACAGACUCUCAAGCAGACUCCGUGCUGAAUGUGGAGACCGACACGGGGCUCCCUCUCACGACCUUGAGAUCAGGACCUGAGCUGGAAUCAAGAGUCAGACACUGAACUGCUUUAGCCACCCAGA